CACCCAUGGAGGAGGAGGGAAAGUGGCUCUACUCUGGCUCCUCCGGUAUAAAUAACUCCUACCAGGACCAAAGCUGCAUCAAGGCCCAGGAAAGGUACCCCAAAGACAGAUGGUGACUGAGUUCAGAGCAACUGCCUUAUGACAACCCUCAGCAAAAGCAGCAAGCGAAUGGGACAGUUGGACCAAAAUAAUCCUGCUGGCUACACAGUGCUGCCAUGGAGUACCAGCAGGUUUGCAACCCCUCUUCACUCACCUGCUGUCAAACUCAGUCACGUUGUGCAGCUGUUUCCGGCUGUUUCCCACUGUGGUUUCACUCUGUUGGUGACAGCCAAGGCAAAAUCCCAAGACAUAUCAGGGAUACAGGCAUCAGUCAGCGCAUCAGCUGGGAGGAAGCAGUGAGGGCUGGCUGCUCCAUGGAGGAAGAACCCACCUCUGAGUGAUGACAGGAAAAAUCAACUGCUCAGCAUCGUGCCAUCCUCACUGGUCCCUGAGGAUUUGUGCUAUCCUCACCAGCCCCUGAGGAGAAGAGAGGAAUAGCAUCCACCAGCACCCUUUCUGGACCAAGACUAUGGUGUAUCAAGGUACAGCAGUGUGCUGGGUUCAAAGAUUUUAGUCCAAACUCUGCUUCCAGCUUCUCUCCAGCAAGGCCCUACUGCAGUACAAGAAAUCAGGCUUUAUAAAAGACACAGAGGGCUGUGCCGCAGGCACUGAGACACAGCCAGGCCACAGCUUGUUGGAAGGGAGCACCUCCAUUAGCAUGAAGAAAGAAGAUCCAACAAUGGCAUUUUAGUUUGUGAGCAUCUUAAUGCCUCUGAAACUGCUGGCCCACCUCCUCCUGCCACUGUCUCAGCCCAGCAUGCCUCACCCGUCACCACACGGAUGUAAAGCUGUAAUUGCCAGCGUGGGGAUGGGGGCCCAGGGGAAUUCUCUGAGGCAGUCGGGCUCUCCGGCAGCCUGUCAGCUCCCAGGUCCACAAUGGAAAUUAAUCACCGAAGCUCAAGGAAGCGCACCUUAAAGAAAAAAACAACAAACACCACUGACUAUG